GGGUAUAAAAAAAAUUUAUGUAGUAAUACCAAUUCAGCACACAAAUUCCAUGCUUCACAAGUUCUGCUGCUGUGUAAGAGUUGUCCUAACACCUAUGCAGAUAAGUACAGACGUUUAGGUCACUGCAUGCCCAGGUCAAAACAGCAGCAAAAUAUCUACCACUACAAGCAGCUAUACCCAAUUGUGCCUUUAGAAUGCUAACUGCACAGAAAUCCAGAUGAUGAGUGGCCGGAACUGGGCUGGACACACAAACCCGAGUCUGUGUGUGCAACAGAGAACAAAGUCACAGAGAAGAAAAACAUAUACAGAUUCUGAUACUGGAUACAAUCAAGACAAAUUAAGUCACUAGACAUUCAGAUUACGGAGAGGGGAAAAUAUCCUUCCAAGUGUACAGAUGACAAGCCAGCGUUUAAAAGAACUCUAAAGGCACAUUUCAGGUAACAUGGUUCUGUUAAGACCAACUGCUUACACACGCAGGCACAAAUCUUAAUGGCUCCCCCAACAAUUAUUUAACAAAAAAGCGAAGUGCAUUUUCAGUAAUAUUAACACCAUUCAGUUAAACUGUUCAGUCCGAAUGUUUAGCAGUUUUUCCUUAUGCUGAUACGGACUCCGCACUACUCCAAUCCAAGAAAACCCAACAGGCAGGAUUAGUAAAGGUUCAGUUGUUGCACUAGUUAACAUUUACUCAUCAGAGCCCACUGAUCUCUUCUGUGCCCUCUUGCGGGGCAACCUCCUUGGUGAAGCUUUAUUUAUUUGAUUUAAAGUUUCCUGGGGAAUCCAGCUCAUAUCAACGUCAUUCUGAUUUGAUGUUCCCAUCUCAACUUUCUGUACUGGUCUUUUUCUCUUCCUAGAUUCUAGUAAUUGAUGUAGGCCAACAAUAACAAGUAGACCAAGUCCAGCAAGGAACAUGUACAUGAAGAUCGUUUCUCCAUCUAAUCCAUCUUCUUUUUCAAUAAUUGUAACCGUUUGAUUGAAGACAGCAUCUUGAAACAUAUUACCAUUUGCAUCUCUGUAGUUGAGAUUGAUAACUAAUCCAAAAGGACGGCCACCCAUAGGCUCAGCAGGGAUGAAAGAGUACUCAAAUGUAGCUUGUCUCUGCGGUGGAACUACUGUAUUCAGGGGGAGAGCUGUGAAGUUCUGGAUAUAAAACUGAUAGUCUUGAGGGUACCGGAACGAAGCAUCGAGAGACUCAACAAUGAAGUCUUCUGUACCCUUAUUGGUGAAGCCUACCAGGAAUUUCACAAUGUUGUUUGCUGGAAAAUCUUCACCUUUGACAAAUAAUAUUGUUGUAUCAGCGCUAGGUGAGGCUUUAGGUUCUCCUGACAAGUCUUCUUCCUCUUUUUCUUCUGUCAAGUCUGUAGGCUCAUCUUCUUCAACUUCAGCUUCAUCAUCUUCGUCUUCAACUACAGUAUCUUCCACAGUUUCCUCAUCUUCUGUAGCAUCCUGAGCUGCAACUAAUAAGCCUGAACCUGUGCCGCUGCCCCGGAGCAGCAAGGCGGCGGGAAAGACAAGCAGGGCGAGCAGCAGCAAACGCGGCACGCUCCUCAUGGUGGCGGCAGGCCGGCAGCCCCGCGCCUUGCGCUGCGGGCGCUCUAAAUGGCGGCCGCCUCCAUCCGGGACCGCCCCGCCCCGCGCCGCAGCGGACGUGGCUCCGCCGAGGAGGAGCGGCACGGUCACGUGGGCUUAGCACACGUCGUCC
rnacentral:lncRNA from 1 species